rnacentral:rRNA from 1 species
UACGUAGGGAGCAAGCGUUGUCCGGAAUCAUUGGGCGUAAAGCGCGCGUAGGCGGCCCUGUAAGUCCGUUGUGAAAGUCAAAGGCUCAACCUUUGAAAGCCGAUGGAUACUGCAGGGCUAGAGUCCGGAAGAGGCGAGUGGAAUUCCUGGUGUAGCGGUGGAAUGCGCAGAUAUCAGGAGGAACACCGGUGGCGAAGGCGGCUUGCUGGGCCAGUUCUGACGCUGAGGAGCGAAAGCGUGGGGAGCGAACAGG